ACAACUUUCGGACUGUCAGUCUACCGAGCAAUAUCGGUGGAAGAUCUUCCCUUUGUCGU
rnacentral:pre_miRNA from 1 species